rnacentral:rRNA from 1 species
UAACACAGAGAGCUUGCUCUCGGGUGACGAGGGGCGGACGGGUGAGUAAUGUCUGGGAAACUGCCUGAUGGAGGGGGAUAACUACUGGAAACGGUAGCUAACACCGCAUAACGUCGCAAGACCAAAGUGGGGGACCUUCGGGCCUCAUGCCAUCAGAUGUGCCCAGGGGGGAUUAGCUAGUAGGUGGGGUAAUGGCUCACCUAGGCGACGAUCCCUAGCUGGUCUGAGAGGAUGACCAGCCACACUGGAACUGAGACACGGUCCAGACUCCUACGGGAGGCAGCAGUGGGGAAUAUUGCACAAUUUGCGGAAGCCUGAUGCAGCCAUGCCGCGUGUAUGAAGAAGGCCUUCGGGUUGUAAAGUACUUUCAGCGNNNGGAAGGCGUUAAGGUUAAUAACCUUAGCGAUU